GAUUAUGGCUCAGGACGAACGCUGGCGGCGUGCUUAACACAUGCAAGUUGAACGGUCCGGCAUGGAAGCUUGCUGAAGUGUCGGGUAGUAGCGGACGGGUGAGUAAUGCAUGAGAAGCUGCCAUUGGGAGGGGGACAACAGUUGGAAACGGCUGCUAAUACCCCAUAUGCCGGAAGGUGAAACGGAGUAAUCCGCCCGAUGAGGUGCUCAUGUCCUAUCAGCUUGUUGGUGAGGUAACGGCUCACCAAGGCGACGACGGGUAGCCGGCCUGAGAGGGUGACCGGCCACACUGGAACUGAGAUACGGUCCAGACUCCUACGGGAGGCAGCAGUGGGGAAUAUUGGGCAAGUGGGGGCAACCCUGACCCAGCGACGCCGCGUGAGGGAAGACGGCCUUCGGGUUGUAAACCUCUUUGUACGGGAAGAAGGACGUGACGGUACCGUGCGAAUAAGUCCCGGCUAACUACGUGCCAGCAGCAGC
rnacentral:rRNA from 1 species